AGUUACAGAUUAUACGAUGUUUUACGUCACCGUGUUUAGAAUUAUCCUAAUGGUUUUGGUGCUGUUUGAAUGUUGGCAGCAAUCAAAGACGAUAGAAAACACCACACAGCUUAGACACCAAUAUCAUCCCCCCGUGUCAGGUCCUGCUAACGCUCCCGCUUCUCACUACAAUCCUUGUCCCCUUGAAUAUCUCAUCUGCUGGCCCAGUUUAAGUAGCGGAGCUUUCGAUAUCUA